UGUAAUAUAGCUAAAAUUAAUAUUAAACAUAUGAUUAAAUCAACACAAGGAUAUUUUGGUAAUUUCUUUACUAAACUCAUUUGAAUGGAAAUGAAAAUAAUGAAACAAACAUAAGAUCAAUUUAGAUGAUUCAUCUAGAUGAGCUAUGUGGAUGGACAAACAAACAAUCACAAAAAUCUGAAUGGAUCAUUUGAAUAGAUCAUACAAAUGAAUCAUUUGGAUGGAGAUGACAAAUGGUGAAACAAAAAGCCCCUUACUUAUGAUUUUCUAAUCUUGCAUUUAAUUUGGAAUCUGCAGUGAUUUGCCCAAAAAUCUUCUGUUAGUUAAACUUAUACUUUGUAAAAAAAAUUAAAAUCUCGUCUUGUUUAAAAAGAAGAAUUAGACAAAGCAGGCCAUACAUAAAAUAUUUAGUUAUGUGAGAGGGUUCUUAGUAAUUUAAAAUGAUUUGGUAGAAUCUUAAUCCACUUAAAAUCAUCAAAAAUUUUUUUAUUGAAAAUCAAACAAUUACAUAUCAUCUCAAAUACAUAAUUGAUUUCAGAUAUAUAUUUUUGUACCUUUCCAAAUUGGAGGUUCAAGAAGAAAUGAGCUUAUAAAACCUGAGAGAAUGAACAGAUUGUAGAAUUAAUUUUGUUGUUGUUUUAUUGAGAAGGAAACUUACAUCUACCAAACCAUAUAGAAUAAUAAACUUGCUAUAUUAUAGUACAAUGAUAACAUAUAAUUGAGUUGAAGUAUAUAGGUGUAUUGUCAACCAUUACCUUGCACAUUGAGCUAUCAAUAAAAAAAAAGCUAAUGGACUUCCUUGGCGUGGGGAACAAGAAUAUCGUUAAUAAAUUUUAAAUACUGCUUUAGUCAGACUCUCGAGGUUGGUAACGUCCCUAUAUAAAAACACACUACUUGCAAGGUCAACAAAACAUUACCAAAUACAAUUCAACCCAACACAAGAUUCCAUCACUUAUAUCAAAGAGUAGACACUUUCUGUUUAUAUCAUUUACACAACAAACCGAAGAGAGGCUAUGGAUAAACGACGUAAAUGCAACAACAAAGUCUCCACUUGUCUUGGUAUUGAUACAGACAACAAAGUGAAGAAACAUGACUUAGAAGCUGAGAAGCGACUCAAGAAGGUGGAGAAAGAUUAUAUCCACGCAAGCCAAAAGUAUACAGAAGCAACAUUACAGCGGUGGAACUUACGCUGUGAGAGAGAACGUGCUAUCAAUCUCUGCUGCUCGGCUGAAAACUUCAAGAACUACUGCAACCGGCUAGUAGAGAAACUUCAGAAGGUUCUUGACAAGCUACCUACAUCAGAAACAAAGGAAGUCAUCGAUCAUGUAAUGUUAUCCCAAAUCAUGGCGUGCAAUCCUCGAUUUUCAGUGAUUUUCGAAAGAUUAACGGAGAGGCACCCUACUAUCAAAGAAAAUUGCCAAGGAUUAACAGCAGAAAAGCUGUAAAUGAUCUUCGUAAGGAGGUUAGAAAGAAGAAGACGUGUAGAGACAAAGCUGUUUCAAAUUUUGCAUCGGUUUGUAAUCCCACAAGUCAUGACAGUUUGAGAAAAUCUGUGGAGCAGGAGAUAGUUGUUGUAAAGAAGCUGAUAAGAGAGAUCCAAAAAGACUUUGAAGAAAAACUGCAUAUAGAGCAAUAUGCAAUAAAUGUAUAUGAAUGCAUCGAACGGAAGGUGAAGCAUUUAGAGGUGAAAAAGGAACACUUGUCGGGGCAAAGGGACAUCUUG